rnacentral:rRNA from 1 species
AUGAACGCUGGCGGCGUGCCUAAUCCCUGCAAGUCGAGCGAACAGACGCGGAGCUUGCUCCUCUGACGUUAGCGGCGGACGGGUGAGUAACCCUUGGAUAACCUACCUAUAAGACUGGGAUAACUUCGGGAAACCGGAGCUAAUCCCGGAUAAUAUAUUUAACCGCAUGUUUCAAUAGUGAAAGAUGGUUUUGUUGUCACUUAUUGAUGGAUCCGCGCCGCAUUAGCUAGUUGGUAAGGUAACGGCUUACCAAGGCAACGAUGCGUAGCCGACCUGAGAGGGGGAUCGGCCGCACUGGAACUGGGACACGGUCAAGACGACUGAGGGAGGCAGCAGUAGGGAAUCUGCCGCAGAGGGCGAGAGCAUGACGGAGCAAGGCCGCGUGAGUGAUGAAGGUCUUCGGAGCGUAAAACUCUGUUAUUAGGGAAGAACAAAUGUGUAAGUAACUAUGCACGUAUUGACGGUACCUAAUCAGAAAGCCACGGCUAACUACGUG